AUUGAACGCUGGCGGCACGCCUAACACAUGCAAGUCGAGCGGCAGCGCGAAUAGUAGCAAUACUAUUUGGCGGCGAGCGGCGGACGGGUGAGGAACACGUAGGAAUCUACCCUCAAGCGGGGGACAACCAAGGGAAACUUUGGCUAAUACCGCAUAAUCUCGAGAGAGCAAAGCUGCAGCAAUGUGGCACUUGAGGAGGAGCCUGCGUCCGAUUAGCUAGUUGGUAGGGUAAAGGCCUACCAAGGCAAUGAUCGGUAACUGGUCUGAGAGGACGACCAGUCACACUGGGACUGAGACACGGCCCAGACUCCUACGGGAGGCAGCAGUGGGGAAUCUUGGACAAUGGGGGCAACCCUGAUCCAGCGAUGCCGCGUGAGUGAAGAAGGCCCUCGGGUCGUAAAGCUCUUUAGGUUGGAAAGAAGGUUGCUUGAGGAAAUGUGAGCAAUUUGACGGUACCGACAGAAUAAGCACCGGCAAACUCUGUGCCAGCCGCCGCAGUAAGAC
rnacentral:rRNA from 1 species